AGGCAAGCCAAACUGGACAAUCUGAAGUUGAAAAUAGUUAAUCAAAAAUGGAAAGAAGAGAGAAAAGACUCAAGGGCCCUAAAUUCCAAUAUAAAUAGCAGUUUUACAGUAACCAAAGGCCAAGUAAAAGGAUUCAACAAAGAAGUAAAGAUUACUCUUCCAGAAGGACUUCCGGUGAAAGAACUAAAAUUCAACCCUGGUCAGGAAAAGACAGAGAACAAAUCUGAGGCUAGCAUUGCAUCGGGACAAUCGUUCACAGGUAAACUAGUUGCUGCUGCGUAGAGAUGUA
rnacentral:sRNA from 1 species